UCUCCGUUGGUGAACCAGCGGAGGGAUCAUUACCGAGUUUACAACUCCCAAACCCCUGUGAACAUACCAUUUGUUGCCUCGGCGGUGCCUGCUUCGGCAGCCCGCCAGAGGACCCAAACCCUUGAUUUUAUACAGUAUCUUCUGAGUAAAUGAUUAAACAAAUCAAAACUUUCAACAACGGAUCUCUUGGUUCUG
rnacentral:misc_RNA from 1 species